rnacentral:misc_RNA from 1 species
GCCAGUUUCUGUGCCUGUAUGGAAGUUCUUCCUGGGAAGCUUGGGUGCACAAGUUGGAAGUGCUUUAGCACGAUCAGCCUCAGCACCAUUUACAUUUGAAGACGGCUUACUAACAGUCUCUUCAGAUCCUGUUGACUUCUUAUUCAAUAAAUAACUAUGUGAUGAUGGAGUUCGGGAAAUCUUUUCUCCUGGUGGUCCAUUUGAAAGUUUCUCCCGCUGAAAAUUUGAUCUCCCACUAACCCAUUUUUCCUUUGGCAGUCUCCACUUCUUCUCAAAAGCUUCAAGAAGCUCCUUUGCUAUCUUAUGAACAUGGUUACCAGGAGGAUUGUAAAGCAUGGCAUUAGAAAAUGUCAGUCUAAUAUCAGCUGCAAAUUCUUCACUUGCCUGGUACAAAUUUCUCUCUAGUUUAGAUUUGACAGUUCCCAAAUCCAUAGGAUCAGUGAUGAUUGAGAAGUAAUCAGGGAUUUUCAAUGCCACAGGAUCCACAGGCUGGUUGAAAACCCAACCAAAUCGGUGGGUCAUAAGUGUUUUUAAAAUUGAAGAGCAUUGUUGUGUAGUAACCCGGUCCAACUUCUGCUUCUUCUCUCUUGGAGAUUCUAUAUCCUCAGUUGCUCUGCGCUUAUCAGUGAUCAUGAUAGAAGCUUUUGACUUGCAACAGGCAGCAGCAAGAGUCUUACCAUUACUGAAAGCAUUCAAUGAAUAUUUGAAUGUGCCACUGCCAUCCACCUUCAACCCAUUCCUACCCAUAAAAGACAAUUUCUGGCCUACAAGCUUUCCAAAUUCACAAGAUUGUGAACCUGGAUGAUCCUCAACUCGUUUACCAGCAAAUUUAAUUUUCAGCUUUUUGCUCGGUACAAUGGUUUCGGUGGCAAUCAUUUUGACCCAAAGCAAUGUUUAUUUAGAUAAGACUCGAAGAGAGUUAGAUGAUUAAUUUUUUAAAAGCGACCAAGACCUUCAGAAAAGUGGCAUCCCUCAAGCAGAUAAGGAAUGAUGUAAGAACUAAUCAUCUCGAAAUUAAACCUGCAGAGAGCCCAGACGGAGUGAGAGCUUGGGAAGCGUGGAGCUUGAACAGAUUGACGACGGAAGAGGCGGCUAAGCAGAAUUCGAAGAGAGGGCGAAGAGCCCCU